rnacentral:rRNA from 1 species
GACGAACGCUGGCGGCGUGCCUAAUACAUGCAAGUCGAACGAAGCUUUUUUAACUGGUGCUUGCACCGACUUAAACAACUGAGUGGCGAACGGGUGAGUAACACGUGGGUAACCUGCCCCAAAGCGGGGGAUAACAUUUGGAAACAGAUGCUAAUACCGCAUAACCACAGAAACCACAUGGUUUCUGUGUCAAAGAUGGUUUCGGCUAUCACUUUGGGAUGGACCCGCGGCGUAUUAGCUAGUUGGUAAGGGAAUGGCUUACCAAGGCAAUGAUACGUAGCCGAACUGAGAGGUUGAUCGGCCACAUUGGGACUGAGACACGGCCCAAACUCCUACGGGAGGCAGCAGUAGGGAAUCUUCCACAAUGGACGAAAGUCUGAUGGAGCAACGCCGCGUGAGUGAAGAAGGUUUUCGGAUCGUAAAACUCUGUUGUCAGAGAAGAACGUGUGCGAGAGUAACUGCUCGUGCAGUGACGGUAUCUGGCCAGAAAGCCACGGCUAACUACGUGCCAGCCGCCGCGGUAA